UGUUUAUAAUUUUUUUAUUUAUAAUUUAUUUUUAAUAACUUGAUGAAUGGUUGGUUGAGUUGAAAUUAGGGUUGAGUUUUGAGAGAAAUAAAAUAAUGCAUUUUGAUGCAGAUUCUUUUACAAUGGCAAAACAAAAGCUUGUAGUUCAUAACGAGACUUCAAUAUACAGAUAGUCAAAUACGUGAUGCUUUCAAUGCUGUUGAAAAAGGUAUGGUUGUGUACAAAACGAGCAAGACGUUUGGAAUUCUUUGUCAGACGCUUCGUGAUAAAAUAACUGGAAGAACUUCUUUGAAGAUACAAUACUGGAAGUAUGAAUCAGUACUAGGUGAACACAUUGAAAAAAAGUUAGUGGUUACUAAUAUGCACCAGAAUAAGAUUCGCCAAGUCUGUAGUACAGCUAUUGUUGCAUUUAUGACAGAUUUCACUAAAUUAGCAUUCAAAUAUUUUUGGCGAUAAUCCUAGCUAAGUUCUAUACAUAAAGACUAAAAUUUGAUGUAAACUGAUUUUAUAAAUAUUUAAUAGUAAUCAAGUAAUCACAGGAGA